rnacentral:rRNA from 1 species
UACGUAGGCAGCAAGCGUUGUUCGGAAUUACUGGGCGUAAAGAGUGUGUAGGCGGUGCUCUAAGUUCGUUGUGAAAUCUCCCGGCUUAACUGGGAGGGUGCGGCGGAAACUGGAGUGCUUGAGCGCGGGAGAGGAAAGCGGAAUUCCUGGUGUAGCGGUGAAAUGCGUAGAUAUCAGGAGGAACACCUGUGGUGUAGACGGCUUUCUGGACCGUAGCUGACGCUGAGGAGCGAAAGCAUGGGGAGCGAACAGG